AUGUCAACAUGAGCUAAUCUGGGUUUACAAAAUAGAGCAUCUCCUUUAAUAGAGCAGUUAACCUUUUUUCAUGACCAUACUUUAUUGAUUCUAGUUAUAAUUACUGUACUAGUAGGAUACCUAAUAUUUAUACUAUUCUUUAAUAGCUAUACUAAUCGAUUCUUAUUACAUGGGCAGACCAUUGAAAUAAUUUGAACAAUCUUGCCAGCUAUUGUACUAUUGUUUAUUGCUUUCCCCUCCCUACGACUAUUAUAUUUAUUAGAUGAAAUCAAUGAGCCUGCAAUUACCAUCAAAUCUAUUGGUCAUCAAUGAUAUUGAAGCUACGAAUAUUCUGACUUUAUAGAUUUAGAAUUUGAUUCAUACAUGACACCAAUAAAUGACCUUCCAACAGAAGGAUUCCGCCUACUAGACGUAGACAACCGAGUUAUUGUGCCAAUAAAUUCUCAAAUCCGAGUACUAGUAACAGCCGCAGAUGUAAUUCAUUCCUGAACGGUACCCGCACUUGGAGUAAAAGUAGACGGAACUCCAGGACGACUAAAUCAAACUAAUUUUAUAAUUAACCGUCCAGGCCUAUUUUUUGGUCAAUGCUCAGAAAUUUGUGGGGCAAACCACAGUUUUAUACCUAUCGUAAUUGAAAGCGUACCAGUAGAACCUUUUAUUAAAUGAAUCUCC
rnacentral:rRNA from 1 species